UUUGUCACAAUAUUUUGUUACACAGACCACAGUGUUUUGUUUUGACUAUCGUACUCGUACCUCGUUACUCGUGUCUCGUACAGUUAUACUGUGUGCGCAUUAUACAUUUUUAAACUGCGACUGCUAUAAAUUGUGAUUGAUAAUGUCUAAUAAAAGAAAAAUAACCACAUAUUUUACUUGCUCUACCAAGUCUACCAUAAAACACGCGGAUGCGGAUGAAAAAAAUAGUAAGAUCUAUAAGAUAAUUACAGAAAAAGAAGUUGUGGACUUGCCGGCUGUUGAUUUCAAUUUCCAUGAUAUUGGCUGUUAAAUUAACAGUACUUUGACUGAUGCUGAUAGAUAUUUGAUUCUUAAAGAUGUGUGGAUACUACCAGUGUAGUAACCACGUCGCUCUCACCGCUUGGUUACUUCACGCUUCUUUAACGACGAAUGCACGUACACGUUGUCGACUCUGAUUCGGAAGUGGUUUGUAUUUAGGUUGAUAAAUAAGUUGAUUAACACAAGUUAUUAAAGUUAAAAUAUUUAUUACUUAUAAAACAAAUUAGAAUAAUGUUUAGAAUUUAAAGUGUUUCGACAGAAUAUAAAGUAUUCUGCCGGAGAGUAGCUAUUAGCACUAAAACUGGGAUUUGUACUUGAUGUAGGCGGCAAUACGGCUGUUACAAAGUCCGCGACCUGCACAAGUACUAUAAGUUGGGAUUGAAGAUUUAACUAUCUCUGAAGUCCUCUCUAAAAAAGGCUCCUAUUUAUAUGGUACAUGUCGUGGUUAAGGAAAGGGUGAUUGACAUCAUAGGAAAUGGCGUGAUGUGCCUAAAUCGGCAUUAACCAAUGCGGAGGCAGCAUCAGUGGCUUGUUGUGGUGGCGUGAUAUUGUUGUAGCCGCCUGUACUUUGGAACGACGUUUUUGUGUAAAAACGUCGGUUUACUACACCAGCUACAUAUACAUAUCCUUUACUCGAUUGUAAUGCCAAGAGAGGUUUAAAGUUCAAGCACCAUUGGCUGAAUGCUCAUAAUUGGCUGGCAUAUUCUGAAAAGUACCAAGGUGCUUUUUGCAAAUUCUGUGUUGUAUUUUCAAAAGUUGGGGGCGUUGGUGGUCAAAAAUUAGGAACCCUGGUAGUGGAGGCUUUUACUAACUACAAAAAAGCUACAGAAGUGUUUAAGAAACAUGGAAAUUUAGAAUACCAUAAAACAGCUUUGCUUAAAUAUGACAACUUUUUAAAUAUUUAUUCAAAUAAAAGUUCUUCAAUAAUAAAUCUUAUUGAUAGUGAAAGAACAAAACAGAUUGAAACAAAUCGAAAGCGUUUAAUCCCAAUUAUUGAAUGCAUUAUGUUAUGUGGCCAACAGGAAAUAGCAUUAAGAGGUCAUAGAGAUUAUGGUCCUAUUUG